GGGUCAGCUUUAGCUCUAGCGGUUACUUCGAUCAAAGUCAGAACAACUCUGUCGUGGAGUUCGAGACCCGCGGGCGCUCUCUGACCCUUUU
rnacentral:vault_RNA from 12 species